UUGAUUUAGCUUCCGGUUUUCGCUUGAAACUUCCUUUUCAUCUAAUUGCCAACGUUGCAGGGCAACUGGAAUUGCGCAGCAUUGAAAGCCUUUUCUCUUGCAGGCUAUUCAACACCUAGUUCCUCCACAGACACAUUAUCCUUCUAAAGUUAUUUCGACCUGAGAUCUCCAGAAAGGCCGUCUAAAAAAGCCAGGACAACCUUAGGAGAUGAGGCCAUCGACUCCACAGCAGCAAAAGAGAUGGUCUGAGACACCCUGACUAGUAGACCUGGUGGGCAAGAUGUAUUAGAAGAGUACCAGACAACCAAAACAUUGGACCACCGAACCAGGAGAGAGAUGAUUGCCAUCUUAGUCAGCCACAAUCAUACAAUGGUGAAUCAGGACUUUUUGCUGAUGUUCAAUGAUGAAACAUCCUCUAAACAGCCUAAAGUCAUCAAACUGGUCAAAUCUUUGACUACGACCAUGAUAUGCGUUGCCUCUUGAAGUCUGCAGAAAGCUUCCAGAGAAUGACAGUGAAACCAACUGGGACAAUGAUAUGUCCUCCCUGCUGCUUCAUCUCCCACCACCAGCAGGAGGGAAGAGGACCACGGUCAGUGCCUGUGAUGCUGUGGCAGACUAGUGCACUUUCAUACGUCAUGCUGCAGCAUUGUAGACCAUCUUGAUGGGAGCCAUGGUCGACAGACUUACCUCCUUGCCAUCAGAAGAAGACAGAGCAAGAUUGACAACUACUACAACGUGGUGGACAAGAGGCUUGUUCCCUGCCAGGCAACUAGUGGUCUGUGUGCUUUUGAUGUACUGUUCAAAGCCCACUUUGUCUUUAACCUGACGUAUGAUGAUGCUCUUGUCAACUUCUACACAUUAGUGCAGACAACCAUCUACAACGUAGAUGUAGGCAAAACAAGAGGCCCCUAGCGUGACAGUUGAGGACAAAACUUCUUUACUAGAUACAUGUAUGUUACGGGUAUUUUGUUGUCAAGCGUUGUACAGAAACAGCCAGUCAUUGAUAUCUCAUUUGAGAAUUAAGCAUAGCUUCUAUCCCUCCACUACGUUUAGAUUGGUCUGUGCUCAAGAUAAUUUUAGAUGGGAUUUUCAACAUACUCAGGUUUCAGAAGACAUUUCAAUAGUAUUCACAAGGGUAUUGGCAAGUAGUUGAUGCAUUAAGCUUAGAAGGGCCCUCUCAUGUUGCUGAUUCUCCAGUCCAGUCAGAAGCUCCUAAAAUGGGUGGUGACAUUGGUGUCCCACAUGAUAACACUCAAAGGGAUUGUUUUGAGAAGAAUGGACAGUCUUGCUAAAGAUCUGUGUGCCUCCAUCAUUGCCAAGUUGCAAGCUAGUGGUGUUGCAAAUAGUGUUGUCAACAGUAGUGUGAUUCAGAAGAGCUUACUGCUGGGCUGCACUCCCUAAUUUAACAAGAUGUUCUGUCAGUUAUGCCUAUGGAUAACACCUCUACAUCUGCUGUAAAGGAUCGUUUUGAGAAUUUUUAAAACCUAUUUGCCAGUUUUAACACAGAAAUCAAGAGAACAAAGUACUUCAACCAAAAAUGGGGGUUUUGUGGAGCCAGUAGAAGUAGUGUUUGGAGUGAUAGCAGGGUAAAUAAACACACAGGCAUGUAUGAUCCCAGUGAAAGACACUUUUGUAUAUAUUCCUAUACUGGAAACAUUGACGUUCAUGUGUCGCAAUUCUGUAAUCUGUAAGUUACUGGAAAAUGCACCUAGGGAUAAAUCUGUAGAAGACGCGUAUGAAGACUUUUGUGAUGGAAGUUACUUUAAGACUCAUCCCUUGUUCUCAAAACAUAGUACAAUUGGAUCUGUAAAAUAUUUCUAUGGUGACUUAAACUGCCAACCCGCUUGGAUCCAAGCGUGGUGUUCACAAGAUAGGCACCAUUUAUUUUGUCCUCAGGAAUCUGUCGCCCAAGUUUAUCUCUGCUGUGAUGAAUAUUAAUUUAGUGUCAAUAUUUCAUUAUCAAGAUCUAAUGGAAUAUGGCUAUGAUGCCAUUUUAGAGCCCUUGGUUAAACUGGAGAGUGAUGGUGUAAAUUUGUCUUUUUCAACUGGCUGUGCCUUUUUUCAACUGGCUGUGCCUUUUUUCAACUGGCUGUGCCUUUUUUCAACUAGCUGUGCCUUUUUUCAACUAGCUGUGCCUUUUUAUCAACUGGCUGUGCCUUUUUAUCAACUGGCUGUGCCUUUUUAUCAACUGGCUGUGCCUUUUUAUCAACUGGCUGUGCCUUUUUAUCAACUGGCUGUGCCUUUUUAUCAACUGGCUGUGCCUUUUUAUCAACUGGCUGUGCCUUUUUAUCAACUGGCUGUGCCUUUUUAUCAACUGGCUGUGCCUUUUUAUCAACUGGCUGUGCCUUUUUAUCAACUGGCUGUGCCUUUUUUCAACUGGCUGUGCCUUUUUUCAACUGGAGACAAUUUGGGGAUGCAUGCAGUCCUUGGUUUCACAGUCCUUCAGUGGUCAUUACUUUUGCUGGUUCUGUUUGAUAGAAAAGUGUAAUGCUCAGACGGUUUACAGAGAGGAUGACCCUAAGAUUGUCUUGGUGCUAAAAAUCUAUUUGAAAUGCAUUUGAAUCAGUUGCGUUAAGACCCGCAUUUGAAUCCGUUGUAAUCAGACCCACAUCUUUGUAUGGUGGAAAGAGAAUUUCUAAACUAAACUGUUUGCAGCACUUCCAUGUUUGUAGUCAUUUUUCUGUGGACAUAAUGCCUGACAUUCUUCAAGGGGUGGCUCAGUUUUGAGUUAAAAUUGUUUUGAAUGUCUCUGAAACAUGCGCUUCUCUAGAAUCUACCUGUUUGACUCUGGGUACUUGGUGUGCAAAAACCGUCCAACUAAAGUCAACCGAGAGAACAGUGGAAAAACAAUGGCACUUAAUUAUAUUCAAACUCUGUGUCUUGUGAGAAACGUUCCACCAGUAAAUGAGAACUGGAAUUUGCUGCUCAUCUUACUGCAAAUAAUUGUUUUUCCCCCCUUUUCUUAGCCAGGGCAUGAAUGUGUAUCUGAAGCAUUUGAUCAUUGAAUGUCACACACUUUUCAAACUGUUGUACCCACGACUUGAUACCCAAACAUCACUUUGAUACAUUACCCAGCAUACAGAAGACAAAUCAGUCCUUUAUUACAUAUGUGGAGCAGGAGGAACACCUUCAAGAACAUUUCUAAGUCCCUGGCAAAAAAACACCAAUUUGCUAUCAAUGGGAGAUGUGCCUCACGAUUGCGACAUACGGAGUGUGGACCGACAACAUAAUUUUCCCUGAGUGAUUUUACUGGUCAGUGCAGAAAGCCAUUUCCUCUACCAGCUGGGUUAAGAUGGAUGGCACAUAGUGCAGAGGGGGACUGUUAGUUUGCAGUAAGAUGGAGCAUGAAAUGCCAGUCUUGUAAAAUAACUAAGAUCAUUGUGGUUGACAUUAUUGUAUACCUGUUGCUGAACAAGUUGCAUAUUGAUAAUUUCUGUGAACAUUACCAUGCAUUCACUGUGUUUGAUGGUGUUGAUGACAAAGUUUAUCUGAAAUGUUAUAAGCCUUUUGUCCUUCAAAGUGCUUAUGGUGCUGAUGAGAGCCUUUGUUUGACAUGAUUGAGUAAUAGUCAGAUUAUUGGAAACUUUGUCAAGAAAAUUGCAUACCUUGUCUUAGGACUUCCAUUUGUGUUUAAAUAGCAACUCUGCAAAUACUCUUGUUCUCAUAUAGUACAUGUUCUCAUGCACUGAUUUCUUUUUAAUGUGCCUGUAAUGCACUGAUUUCACAUUAGCCUAAAUUAAUGAAACAAAGCAGUCACA